rnacentral:sRNA from 1 species
GCCGGCCGGGGGACGGACUGGG